rnacentral:tRNA from 1 species
GCCUCAGUAGCGUAGUGGUUAACGCACGAUAGGCGCGAGACGCGGGCUCGAAUCCCGUCUGAGAUG